AUGCCAACCAAGAAGUGUAAUCGCAAAAAACGGCUCUGUGUACCGACUGAAUCACAGCCACAGGUUCCUAUCAAAUGUGAGAUGUCCAAAAACUCACUGUUGGCACAAUGUAGCAUCUCCGGUCAAGGCUUGUGGCUACAGGAGACGUGGCAUCGGGACCAAGAAAAUAAAUUCGAAAACAUUACAAAAAGUACGUCGGAGACCCGUUUAAAUCACGCACAGCUGAAUCAACCAGGUGCAAAUGGGCAUUUCCAUCCCAGAGCAAACCACAUAGGUUAUGAUACAGGGACAGACACUUACAGCAGCAUCCUGGCUGAGCUCUUCACCGAGACAAGAUGUACAGAGGAGGAAAUCAGACCGAGAAACGAAAUUACUUCACACGAGAAUUGCCCUUACAAUUCUAGGACGAUGCUAAUCCAACAGUGUUGUGCAGUUUUGCCUUUCCAAUUGACAGUGGGAUAUGCAGUGUCGUCUUGA
rnacentral:rRNA from 1 species